rnacentral:tRNA from 1 species
GCCCGUAUAGCUCAGCGGAACGAGCGCCGGUCUUACAAACCGGAUGUCCCAGGUUCGAUCCCUGGUGCGGGCA